rnacentral:piRNA from 1 species
UGAAGAAGUACCUGAGCAAGACUGGC